rnacentral:rRNA from 1 species
UACGAAGGGGGGCUAGCGUUGUUCGGAAUCACUGGGCGUAAAGCGCACGUAGGCGGAUCUUUUAAGUCAGGGGGUGAAAUCCCGAGGCUCAACCUCGGAAACUGCCCUUUUGAUACUGGGGAUCUCGAGUCCGGAAGAGGGUGAGUGGAAACUGCGAGUGUAGAGGUGAAAUUCGUAGAUAUUCGCAAGAACACCAGUGGCGAAGGCGGCUCACUGGUCCGGUACUGACGCUGAGGUGCGAAAGCGUGGGAGCAACAGG